UGGUUUCUCUGUAUGUCUUUGGAGCCUGUUCUGGAACUUGAUCUGUAAAACAGACUGGAUUUGAACUCACAGUAAUGAGCCUGUCUGUGCCUUUCCUGUAUGCCUUAACAUUAUGAACAAAUUUCAUAUUAUAUGCACUGGACUACUAUUCCUCAUUUAUUGAUACUCAAGCAGCAUCAUUCUGCCGAGCAGUUGGAUGCACAGCUGGAUGAAGACAAUGCACAGAUGGACACCAGUUAAACAGCCGGGCAAAUCCACAGAAGUGACAGAACCCAGAAGCUUCGUCCUUAAUCUCUAGAGGGAGGGUUGGCAAUUGGACUGUGAAGACAAUGGUGGAUUUCUUUUUGUUUGUCUCUCUCUCUCUUUUUCCCUGUUUUAAAAUGGGAUCUAAAAUCUCAUGUAAAGGAUUUUUUUCUCUUUUUUUUUAAAUUCUGAAACAGACCUGUUUUGUACCGAGUUAUUUUGGCGAUCAGUUUUACUGGUUACUGUUGUGGAGAAGGAGGCAUGUUCACCUUUGCCAUAAUAAACUACAAUUGUCUGUAGGAAAGAAAAUAAAAAGAGAA